GACGAACGCUGGCGGCGUGCUUAACACAUGCAAGUCGAACGAUGACGACCGAGCUUGCUCGGUCUGAUUAGUGGCGAACGGGUGAGUAACACGUGAGCAACCUGCCCUUCACUCUGGGAUAACCUCGGGAAAUCGGGGCUAAUACCGGAUAUGAGCUCCUGUCGCAUGGCGGGUGUUGGAAAGUUUUUCGGUGAAGGAUGGGCUCGCGGCCUAUCAGUUUGUUGGUGAGGUAGUGGCUCACCAAGACGAUGACGGGUAGCCGGCCUGAGAGGGCGACCGGCCACACUGGGACUGAGACACGGCCCAGACUCCUACGGGAGGCAGCAGUGGGGAAUAUUGCACAAUGGGCGAAAGCCUGAUGCAGCGACGCCGCGUGAGGGAUGACGGCCUUCGGGUUGUAAACCUCUUUCAGCAGGGAAGAAGCGAAAGUGACGGUACCUGCAGAAGAAGCGCCGGCUAACUACGUG
rnacentral:rRNA from 1 species